AACGCGAAGAACCUUACCUGGGCUCGAACGGCUUCGGACCAUCCUUGGAAACAGGGACUUCCCGCAAGGGACUGGAGUCGAGGUGCUGCAUGGCUGUCGUCAGCUCGUGUCGUGAGAUGUUGGGUUAAGUCCCGCAACGAGCGCAACCCUCACCCUUAGUUGCUCGUCCGUAAGGAAAGCACCCUAAGGGAACUGCCUCGGAUAACGGGGAGGAAGGUGGGGAUGACGUCAAGUCCUCAUGGCCUUUAUGUCCAGGGCUACACACGUGCUACAAUGGCCGGUACAAAGCGUCGCGAACCCGCAAGGGGGAGCCAAUCGCAAAAAGCCGGUCUCAGUUCGGAUUGCAGGCUGCAACUCGCCUGCAUGAAGCUGGAAUCGCUAGUAAUCGCGUAUCAGAACGACGCGGUGAAUACGUUCCCGGGCCUUGUACACACCAGUAUA
rnacentral:rRNA from 1 species